rnacentral:ncRNA from 2 species
CGCUCAUCAAGAGUAGCAGAGGGACUGGCCCUAUGAAGCUACGGCAACCAUCAUUAAGAAACGGUGCUAAUUCCAACAGCAAAAGCUGGCAGAUGAGAG